rnacentral:rRNA from 1 species
GAUGAACGCUGGCGGCGUGCCUGAUACAUGCAAGUCGAGCGAAUGGAUUAAGAGCUUGCUCUUAUGAAGUUAGCGGCGGACGGGUGAGUAACACGUGGGUAACCUGCCCAUAAGACUGGGAUAACUCCGGGAAACCGGGGCUAAUACCGGAUAACAUUUUGAACCGCAUGGUUCGAAAUUGAAAGGCGGCUUCGGCUGUCACUUAUGGAUGGACCCGCGUCGCAUUAGCUAGUUGGUGAGGUAACGGCUCACCAAGGCAACGAUGCGUAGCCGACCUAAGAGGGUGAUCGGCCACACUGGGACUGAGACACGGCCCAGACUCCUACGGGAGGCAGCAGUAGGGAAUCUUCCGCAAUGGACGAAAGUCUGACGGAGCAACGCCGCGUGAGUGAUGAAGGCUUUCGGGUCGUAAAACUCUGUCGUUAGGGAAGAACAAGUGCUAGUUGAAUAAGCUGGCACCUUGACGGUACCUAACCAGAAAGCCACGGCUAACUACGUGCCAGCCGCCGCAGUAA